rnacentral:tRNA from 1 species
AUGGCUCAGUGGUUAAGAGCACUAGCUGCCCUCCUAGAAGACCUGGGUUUGAUUCCCAGU